rnacentral:rRNA from 1 species
AGUGAACGCUGGCGGUAGGCCUAACACAUGCAAGUCGAACGGCAGCACAGAGGAGCUUGCUCCUUGGGUGGCGAGUGGCGGACGGGUGAGGAAUACAUCGGAAUCUACUCUGUCGUGGGGGAUAACGUAGGGAAACUUACGCUAAUACCGCAUACGACCUACGGGUGAAAGCAGGGGAUCUUCGGACCUUGCGCGAUUGAAUGAGCCGAUGUCGGAUUAGCUAGUUGGCGGGGUAAAGGCCCACCAAGGCGACGAUCCGUAGCUGGUCUGAGAGGAUGAUCAGCCAAACUGGAACUGUGACACGGUCCAGCCUCCUACGGGAGGCAGCAGUGGGGAAGAUUGGACAAUGGGCGCAAGCCUGAUCCAGCCAUACCGCGUGGGUGAAGAAGGCCUUCGGGUUGUAAAGCCCUUUUGUUGGGAAAGAAAUCCAUCUGGUUAAUACCCGGGUGGGAUGACGGUACCCAAAGAAUAAGCACCGGCUAACUUCGUGCCAGCCGCCGCUGUAA